rnacentral:misc_RNA from 1 species
GAUGAAGAACGUAGCGAAAUGCGAUAAGUAAUGUGAAUUGCAGAAUUCAGUGAAUCAUCGAAUCUUUGAACGCACAUUGCGCCCUCUGGUAUUCCGGGGGGCAUGUCUGUUCGAGCGUCAUUAUAACCACUCAAGCUCUCGCUUGGUAUUGGGGCUCGCGGUUCCGCGGCCCCUAAAAUCAGUGGCGGUGCCUGUCGGCUCUACGCGUAGUAAUACUCCUCGCGAUUGAGUCCGGUAGGUCUACUUGCCAGCAACCCCCAAUUUUUACAGGUUGACCUCGGAUCAGGUAGGGAUACCCGCUGAACUUAAGCAUAUCAAUAAGCGGAGGA